UGCCAGCAGCCGCGGUAAUACGGAGGGUGCAAGCGUUGUCCGGAUUUAUUGGGUUUAAAGGGUGCGUAGGCGGCGCAUUAAGUCAGUGGUGAAAUCCUGCAGCUUAACUGUAGAACUGCCAUUGAUACUGAUGUGCUUGAGUGUCGUUGAGGCAGGCGGAAUUUAUGGUGUAGCGGUGAAAUGCAUAGAUACCAUAAAGAACACCGAUAGCGAAGGCAGCUUGCUUAACGAUAACUGACGCUGAUGCACGAAAGCGUGGGUAGCGAACAGGAUUAGAUA
rnacentral:rRNA from 1 species